rnacentral:rRNA from 1 species
GCGGCCCAUUAGCUAGUUGGUGAGGUAAUGGGCUCACCAAGGCGACGAUGGGUAGCCGGCCUGAGAGGGUGGUCGGCCACACUGGGACUGAGACACGGCCCAGACUCCUAGGGGAGGCAGCAGUGGGGAAUAUUGCGCAAUGGGGGAAACCCUGACGCAGCGACGCCGCGUGAGCGAUGAAGGCCUUCGGGUUGUAAAGCUCUGUCUUCCCUGACGAUAAUGACGGUAAGGGAAGGAGGAAGCCACGGCUAACUACGUGCCAGCAGCCGCGGUAAUACGUAGGUGGCGAGCGUUGUCCGGAAUUACUGGGCGUAAAGGGUGCGUAGGCGGCUCUUUAAGUGGGGAUGUGAAAUCCCUGGGCUCAACCCAGGAACUGCAUUCCAAACUGGAGAGCUAGAGUGCAGGAGAGGAAAGCGGAAUUCCCAGUGUAGCGGUGAAAUGCGUAGAGAUUGGGGAGGAAACACCCAGUGGCGAAGGGCGGCUUUCUGGACUGUAACUGACGCUGAGGCACGAAAGCGUGGGGAGCAAACAGGAUUAGAUACCCUGGUAGUCCACGCUGUAAACGAUGGGUACUAGGUGUAGGGGGCGAAGCCCUCUGUGCCGCAGCUAACGCAUUAAGUACCCCGCCUGGGGAGUACGGUCGCAUGAUU